UCCCCGAGAUGAGAAUCGAACUCAUGCCAAGGGUUUUACAGACCCGUGUGCUAAACCAUUACACCACUCAGGG
rnacentral:tRNA from 1 species